rnacentral:rRNA from 1 species
GACAGAGGGUGCGAACGUUGUUCGGAAUUACUGGGCGUAAAGCGCGUGUAGGCUGUUCGGAAAGUCGGGUGUGAAAGCCCUGGGCUCAACCUAGGAAGUGCACUCGAAACUCCCGAACUGGAGUCCCGGAGAGGAAGGCGGAAUUCUCGGUGUAGAGGUGAAAUUCGUAGAUAUCGAGAGGAACAUCGGUGGCGAAGGCGGCAUCCUGGUCUGUGACUGACGCUGAGGCGCGAAAGCUAGGGGAGCAAACAGG